CUUUUCGAGGUAGGAGUCGACUCCUGUGAGGUAUGGUGCUGGGUGCAGAUGCAGUGUGGCUCUGGAUAGCACCUUAUGGACAGUUGUGUCCCCAAGGAAGGAUGAGAAUAGCUACUGAAGUCCUAAAGAGCAAGCCUAACUCAAGCCAUUGGCACACAGGCAUUAGACAGAAAGCUGGAAGUUGAAAUGGUGGAGUCCAACUUGCCUGGACCAGCUUAAUGGUUCUGCUCCUGGUAACGUUUUUAUCCAUGGAUGACUUGCUUGGGUAUGGAGAGUCGGCUUGACUACACUGUGUGGAGCAAGUUUUAAAGAAGCAAAGGACUCAGAAUUCAUGAUUGAAGAAAUGCAGGUUAGUUUAAACUUUGAAGGAAAUUUUUAAGGUGGCAAAAGGUUUUGGUGGCAUAUACACCUUAAUCUGUAGAUGGGAGUGAUUAGCUGUUUAAAAGUUAAAAUGUGACUGAGAAGGAAAUUGAGUAGGGCAAAUUUUAAAUGGGUAUUAUUUUUCAUCUUCAAACAGGCAGACCUGUUAUCCUAAACUAGGGUUUUUAAUGACCACAACAAGCAAGCAUGCAGCUUACUGCUUGAAAGGGUCUUGCCUCACCCAAGCUAGAGUGCAGUGGCCUUUGAAGCUUACUACAGCCUCAAACUUCUGGGCUCAAGUGAUCCUCAGCCUCCCAGUGGUCUUUGUAGACUGCCUGAUGGAGUCUCAUGGCACAAGAAGAUUAAAACAGUGUCUCCAAUUUUAAUAAAUUUUUGCAAUCCA
rnacentral:lncRNA from 1 species